rnacentral:sRNA from 1 species
GACCCUACGCAAGAUCAAACAAUCUAGC